rnacentral:rRNA from 1 species
CUCGGAUCAGACGUGAUUACCCGCUGAACUUAAGCAUAUCACUAAGCGGAGGAAAAGAAACUAACAAGGAUUCCCCCAGUAACGGCGAGUGAACAGGGAAAAGCCCAGCACCGAAGCCUGUGGCCAGUUGGUCAUUAGGCAAUGUGGUGUUUAGGUCGUUCCGCAGAAGCGCUGCUCCACCCCAAGUCCAUCAAUGAGUACGGUAGUACAGACAUGGCCCAUGGAGGGUGAAAGGCCCGUUCGGGUGGAGAUUCGGCAGGCCAGUGCUUCUCUGGGUAGACCUUG